rnacentral:lncRNA from 1 species
AGGGUAGUGUGUACGCAGACCUUACCCCUAUCCUGAGGUAGAGAGGUUGUUUUCGAUAUACCCUCGUCUCCCUCCCUCCAAGAACUCCCCACCUUGCUCUUGGGGUGACUCAAACUCACAACUUCUUGGUUGGAAGUGGAGGGUGCUCACCACUAGAGCAACCCACUCUUGUCAGAAGUUAGAAGAAAAAAAUAAAAAUUAGAAAAGGUAGAAUAUAAUAAACACACAAUUAGAAUAUUAAAAAAAUUGGGACUCAAUGUAUAAAUGAAUAUAUGGUUAUCGAUAUUUUUAUGUCUUUUAACUUCUUGAAUUCAACAAGUGACUACGAAAGAGAUGACUAAUAUGUGAGGAAAAAGUACAGUAAAUAAAAAUGAUUUAACGGGUUAUUAAUGAGUUUUAAAAAUAAAUAAAUAUUUUUUUAAUAGGGUAUUUCUAAAAAGUUUGACAAACGGUAGAAUAGAUAUGUUUGGAUAAUAUACGAGAGGAUAAAUGCGAAUAAUAUACUAAAAUUGAGGGUAUAUUUGACCAUUUUAAAGAUUAUUCUUUGAUCACAAUAUCUAUUCAGAAGAACAAAUUCGCGAUAAAGAAAAGUUCUUUGUUUGAUCAGAAUAUCUAUUCAGCUUCAUCAAUCCUUGCAGCCUUUUGAUUUGAAGGGGUUUUCACAAAAGAAAAAAAUGGAGAAAGUAAUGAAUAUAUUGAAGCCAAAACCGAACCCUCAACAGCUUUUAAGGGAUUGGCAACGUAGGCUCCGACAAGAAUGCCGGAAUAUUGAACGUCAAAUCCGAGGUAAAAGUUUUUCUUUUCCCCCUCACAUUCUGUUUAAUUUUUCAUAGUCAAGAAGGAAAAGGGGUUUUUUUGGGUGAUUGUAAAUUUCGAUUUUUUUAUCUUGGGUUUGUGGAUUUUUGGCGCUUUUGAUCAGAUAUACAAAGAGAGGAGAAGAAUGUGCAGAAAGCAAUUAAAGAAGCUGCAAAGAGAAAUGAUAUGGGUUCUGCCAAGGUGAUUUACUGCUCUCACUUGAACUCUCUAAUUUAAAACAAAAAAAAAAAAAUUCACAUAAUUAUUUGCUGGUUAUGACUGCUAUUUUUUCUAAGCUGAUGUUUAUUUGAGGACUGUAGCAUUAUAGACUGAGAAAUAGUUGAAAUUAAGCUCUUUAAAUUUUGUCAUUUUAGAACCUUACUCUAUCAAAAAGAAAAAGGUUGAUACUUUGGAAAAUAUGUUGGUAAUUGGUAAACUGAGAAAUAAUCUAGGUCUAUAACAUUGGUAAACUAAGAAAUAGUAAAUAAACUUAAUUAUAUGUUUGAAAAUUUGUUAUUUCAGAUCAGUAGAUGAAGAGUAAUUUUUCUUUCCAAUACUUUUAAAUGUUGGCGAAAUGAGAAAGAGAAGAAGCUUCUCUUAAAUUUUGUUUUGGAUCAUCGAAAGAUUUCUACGUGGUUGAUAAGUGCUUUGUCUUGUGUCAUUAGGAGCUUUCUUAGGCAGCUUAUGUGACAAACCACUAUGCUUUUUUCCAGACUUUUAGGAACGCCUAUUUAAGUAGUUGGUUUAGUGCUUAUCCAUGAUUUCUUUUUCUUUUUUACGGUAAGAGCAUAUCUUGAAUUCAGACUGAUAUUGUAUAUGGUUAUGAGGCAUAUUUUGGUGUUUUUUGUAUCUUAUUGCUUAUUCAUAUCGGACUGUUGAUGUAUUUACCGCAGUCACUUGCGAAAGAAAUUGUGAGAUCUAAAAGAACUGUGAACCGAUUGUACGAGAAUAAGGCGCAGUUGAAUUCAAUAUCAAUGCACCUUGGAGAAAGUGUCGGUAUGAUCAUAGUCUUGCUUCACUUUUUGUAUAUAUGUCUAUCCCCCUUUUAUAUUCAGGAGUGUGCAUUUGGUCCUCUAAGUUCUUCUUGACGAGCAAGCUGUCAGGGAACAGUAUGCAUCGAUUGAGAACAUGAACAGUAUGCAUCGAUUGAGAACAUAACCUGAUCAAGAUUGCUACAAUCAAUAUCUAAAUAACAAAAUACAUACAUUAUGCCUCUUAUAUUAUAUAUUGAACAAGAGACGGAGCAUCCAUUGAGAACAUUGCAUAUAAUGUAUGGAGUUUUUUUUUUUUUUUGUGGUGGUGGUGGUGGUUGGGGGGGGGGGGGUUAAUAUAAUGUAAUGUAUGGAGUUUGAAGAGGCAUAGUGUGUGUAGUUUGUUAUUUAUAUAGAUGAAUAGAAGAAGUAGGAUUGCUUAGGUUUUUUGUCCUUUUGAUUUUCUGUAACAACAGAUGAAUAUUUCAUUUUUUGCUGGACAACUGGAUGCUAUUAUGGCUAAACUGAUAAUAGAAUUCUGCCUUUUCAAAUGAUUCUAUGAAAUAGAGGCAGCACCUAGGAAAGUUGCACCUAUUGGACUUUCAUUUUCACAGAAUAACUGGAUAAAAUAAAAUAUCUUGAUGUCGUUUUGGCAAAAUCGAUUGUAUUCUAUAUUUAGGUUGUUAGCAGCAGCUAGGAAAGUAGCACCUAUUAGAAUGUCUGUAGCUAGACAACCAUAUACUGUUGCUGGUUGGACGACAAAUUGAAACCAACCCUCUUGAUUUAUACUUAUUAGUUUAUGUGUUGGCUUCUCCAGUGUCCCAUUGACUUGUAAUUGGUUUUGCAGCUAUCGCUCGAACAGUGGGACAUUUAUCUAAGAGUGCUGAAGUCAUGAAGCUCGUCAAUAAUCUUAUGAAGGCUCCAGAAGUGGCUAUGACAAUGCAGGAAUUUAGUAAAGAAAUGACCAAGGUAUAUAUCUAUUUGGCUUUAUCAUUUUGAGCUUCAAUGAUAUUCUUGAUCUUUUCUCCUGGUUGCGAAUCGCCUUUAAACCAGUUUGAUUCCAAUUCUUAAAUAUUGCUGUAUGCUAGAUAACAUAACAGAAUCAUUGUUUCUCUGUUUGCUAUUGGCUGUAUUUUUUUGUGUGUUCAUACUAUAUGGAAUCCAUUACUUCUUAAGGAAGUUUUCUAGUGAGUCUAUUUCUAGGUGUCAGAUUUUAUACUCUCAUCAAGUGUACCCCUUCGAUUAUUUUCAGCUUCUUUAUGUGUAAAUAUGCUUAUACUAGUUUUUGAAAAUCUUGUGUAACUUGAUCACAAAUUUGUGUUUUAGAUUAUAAUUGUCUUUCUUAAAUGGGGAUAUAUAUUUAGAUAUCACAUGUCAAGUUUUAUUUCCUUGUUCCUCGUGCAAAUUAACAGCAUAUGACCUGUGUUACAUGGACAAGGGUGUGGGUAUAAAAUAAGGAUACAAAUCUAGGAGUCAGAUUUGUCAUCACAUAAAUCUUAGAAUUCAGGGAUAUGUUAGAGUUAAAGGUACGGGUGCUAAGAUACGACUAAUUUUUUACAUUAUAGAAUAUUUAUCAUAUACUCUCUCUGCUUCAUUUUAUCUGAUGUCAUUACUAUUUGGAGAAUCAAACAAUCUUUUACUACAAUUAUUUCAAACUUAUCUUAAAUGUUUUUAAUUAAUUAAAGAAUUAUGACUUAUAGUACUUGUUGAUGUAGUGGAGUAUUAGAUAUGAAAAUAUUAAUUUUUUUGUUAACUAAGAAAUCCCGGAGGACUAGAGGUGCACGGUUCAAAACUCGGUUGAUAAUGGGCUUGCCCCUACACCCUUCUAAAUACGAAAAUAUUACUUUAGAAAAUGAAAGAAAUAGUUCCAAUUGAGACCGUAAAUGAGAAGGCUUGAGACCUUCGUUUUCAGCCUCUUCAUUCUGUUUGAAAUGGAUGGAGUAUAUAUGUAUGUUGUGUGUUUAUAUUUCAGUUAUUAAAUAAAAGUCUUUGAACCAAAACAAGUAUAAUUAAGUUCCUUUUAAAUGCCUAAUAUUAAUUCCAUAAGUAUAUCUCAUACAAUAGCAAAGUUUUCGAACACUUUAUGUGAAUAUAUAUAUAUAAUUUUUAUAAAAACUGAAAAUCAAAACCAAAAAACCCAGCGUGAGCAUGAAGUCAGCCAAAUUAUGUACGUUAUUCCUUUCCCACACCUAGAUCGUGUGAGAUUGAUGUGGAUGCACCUGGCUUUUGAUGGUUUCAUUUAACAUAGUAUAUGACUAUGAAUUCCUUCAUAAUUCACAGAGCAUGUGCGCUUAUUCUUUAGGAGUUCCAUGGAGAAACUAGGUGUUUCUUGUGUGGAUUGGGAUAUUGUAUGAAUUAUUGUUAACAUGAAUGAGAAUACUCUCCGAACAGUUAGACGAGCUUGUUGAUAUUACUUGUAGGCCUUUCCGGCCAUUUUGGGUUAUUUAAGAUCUCAGAUGCAUGAGUAUCCAAUAGUUCGUUCCAUAAAUAUGUUGAAGAUAGUCAGUUCUACCCAUGAAAAUAUUGAAUUUAUACUAAAAUCUUCUUUGUGCUGAAUAAAACAUUAGAGGGCAAGUAGAAGAUCAUAGAAGUUGCCAAAGCAUGACUCUUAUUUUCCUUUCAGUGAUUGGUUGUAUGCCAAAUUGAAUGCAACUCACGCUCACACGUUGCACAGUUGUCUGUGGAAGAAAAACGAAAGCUGAUCUCUAUAUGAUAGACUGUCCUAUUGCCUGCCUCCCCCGCAAGAAGCUUCUCUCUCUCUCACACACACAACACGCGUGCGCGCACACACGCACAUUUUCUUUUUAACUAGAAAUUACCCGAUCUCUUGGUAUUGCAGGCUGGUGUGAUGGAGGAAAUGGUAAAUGAUGCAGUGGACAGCGCCCUGGAUUCAGAAGACAUAGAAGACGAGAUUGAAGAAGAAGUUGACAAGGUUUUGACUGCAAUUGCUGGUGAGACUACUGCACAACUUCCUGAAGCAGUCCGAAAGCAAAAGUUAAAGCAACCCGCGCAGGCAGUGGAGGAGGCAGAGGUAUGUCCUCUCAUCUUGUGACGUAUUGUAGUGAUCAACCGAACUAAAUUGAUUGACCAUUGGUUUGUUAUUUCUUGCAGGGUGCUGAUGACGAGGAAGACUUAGAAGAACUAAGGGCGCGUCUUGCUAAAGUUAGAUCCUAAGUGAUUUUUAAACUGACUUCCACUGCUUAAGGCGUCGAUGUAUAGUAAGUUUGUAUGGGAAGCACAGACCUCUUCUAUAGCGCGCUGCAUUUUCCAUCUGGAAGAGAGAAUAGUAGAGUACCUUCUGUAUCUUAGAAUCAGUUAACUCAUGAUUUCUUGUAUUAAUUAUCCGAUGUGAGUUAUUAUCUUCUUACUGUUAUUUCUUGCCGUUUUUCUUUUCAUUAGUGUUGUGCUUAGGCUUUCCUCAGCCGAGAGUCUAUUGCAAACAACCUCUCUAUCUCCACAAGGUAGGGAUAAGGUCUGUGUACACACUAUCCUCCGCAGACCCCACUAUGUGGGAUUAUACCGAGUAUGUUGUUGUUGAGUUCUUAUCUUUUUCUCUUGUAUGGAAAAUGAAAUACUAUGUUAACAACAUUUCCUGCUAUUUAGUUGAAUUGGUUGACCAAUAUGUAUUUAUGUCGGAUGCUCUCUCUUAAAUUGUAAUCUUAAUGCACUUCUAUUUUUUAU